GACGAACGCUGGCGGCGUGCUUAACACAUGCAAGUCGAACGGAAAGGCCCUGCUCUUGUGGGGUGCUCGAGUGGCGAACGGGUGAGUAACACGUGAGUAACCUGCCCUUGACUUUGGGAUAACUUCAGGAAAAUGGGGCUAAUACCGGAUAGGAGCUCCUGCUGCAUGGUGGGGGUUGGAAAGUUUCGGCGGUUGGGGAUGGACUCGCGGCUUAUCAGCUUGUUGGUGGGGUAGUGGCUUACCAAGGCUUUGACGGGUAGCCGGCCUGAGAGGGUGACCGGCCACAUUGGGACUGAGAUACGGCCCAGACUCCUACGGGAGGCAGCAGGGGGGAAUAUUGCACAAUGGGCGGAAGCCUGAUGCAGCAACGCCGCGUGCGGGAUGACGGCCUUCGGGUUGUAAACCGCUUUCGCCUGUGACGAAGCGUGAGUGACGGUAAUGGGUAAAGAAGCACCGGCUAACUACGUG
rnacentral:rRNA from 1 species